rnacentral:rRNA from 1 species
GAACCUUACCUAAGCUUGACAUCCCAAUGACAUCUCCUUAAUCGGAGAGUUCCCUUCGGGGACAUUGGUGACAGGUGGUGCAUGGUUGUCGUCAGCUCGUGUCGUGAGAUGUUGGGUUAAGUCCCGCAACGAGCGCAACCCUUGUCUUUAGUUGCCAUCAUUAAGUUGGGCACUCUAGAGAGACUGCCAGGGAUAACCUGGAGGAAGGUGGGGAUGACGUCAAAUCAUCAUGCCCCUUAUGCUUAGGGCUACACACGUGCUACAAUGGGUAGUACAGAGGGUUGCCAAGCCGUAAGGUGGAGCUAAUCCCUUAAAGCUACUCUCAGUUCGGAUUGUAGGCUGAAACUCGCCUACAUGAAGCUGGAGUUACUAGUAAUCGCAGAUCAGAAUGCUGCGGUGAAUGCGUUCCCGGGUCUUGUACACACCGCCCGUCACACCACGGGAGUUGGAGACGCCCGAAGCCGAUUAUCUAACCCUUUGGAAGAAGUCGUCGAAGGUGGAAUCAAUAACUGGGGUGAAGUCGUAACAAGGUAGCCGUAUCGGAAGGUGCGGCUGGAUCACCUCCUUUCUAAGGAGA